GGGUUGUGAGGUUAAGCGACUAAGCGUACACGGUGGAUGCCCUGGCAGUCAGAGGCGAUGAAGGACGUGCUAAUCUGCGAAAAGCGUCGGUAAGGUGAUAUGAACCGUUACAGCCGGCGAUGUCCGAAUGGGGAAACCCAGUGUGAUUCGUCACACUAUCGUUAACUGAAUACAUAGGUUAACGAGGCGAACCGGGGGAACUGAAACAUCUAAGUACCCCGAGGAAAAGAAAUCAACCGAGAUUCCCCCAGUAGCGGCGAGCGAACGGGGAGCAGCCCAGAGUCUGAAUCAGCUUGUGUGUUAGUGGAACGGUCUGGAAAGUCCGACGGUACAGGGUGAUAGUCCCGUACACCAAAAUGCACAGGCUGUGAACUCGAAGAGUAGGGCGGGACACGUGGUAUCCUGUCUGAAUAUGGGGGGACCAUCCUCCAAGGCUAAAUACUCCUGACUGACCGAUAGUGAACCAGUACCGUGAGGGAAAGGCGAAAAGAACCCCGGCGAGGGGAGUGAAAAAGAACCUGAAACCGUGUACGUACAAGCAGUGGGAGCACCUUUAUGGUGUGACUGCGUACCUUUUGUAUAAUGGGUCAGCGACUUAUAUUCUGUAGCAAGGUUAACCGUAUAGGGGAGCCGCAGGGAAACCGAGUCUUAACUGGGCGUUAAGUUGCAGGGUAUAGACCCGAAACCCGGUGAUCUAGCCAUGGGCAGGUUGAAGGUUGGGUAACACUAACUGGAGGACCGAACCGACUAAUGUUGAAAAAUUAGCGGAUGACUUGUGGCUGGGGGUGAAAGGCCAAUCAAACCGGGAGAUAGCUGGUUCUCCCCGAAAGCUAUUUAGGUAGCGCCUCGUGAAUUCAUCUUCGGGGGUAGAGCACUGUUUCGGCUAGGGGGUCAUCCCGACUUACCAACCCGAUGCAAACUACGAAUACCGAAGAAUGUUAUCACGGGAGACACACGGCGGGUGCUAACGUCCGUCGUGAAGAGGGAAACAACCCAGACCGCCAGCUAAGGUCCCAAAGUCACAGUUAAGUGGGAAACGAUGUGGGAAGGCACAGACAGCCAGGAUGUUGGCUUAGAAGCAGCCAUCAUUUAAAGAAAGCGUAAUAGCUCACUGGUCGAGUCGGCCUGCGCGGAAGAUGUAACGGGGCUAAACUGUGCACCGAAGCUGCGGCAGCGACACUUAGGUGUUGUUGGGUAGGGGAGCGUUCUGUAAGCCUGCGAAGGUGGCCUGUGAGGGUUGCUGGAGGUAUCAGAAGUGCGAAUGCUGACAUAAGUAACGAUAAUGCGGGUGAAAAGCCCGCACGCCGGAAGACCAAGGGUUCCUGUCCAACGUUAAUCGGGGCAGGGUGAGUCGACCCCUAAGGCGAGGCCGAAAGGCGUAGUCGAUGGGAAACAGGUUAAUAUUCCUGUACUUGGUGUUACUGCGAAGGGGGGACGGAGAAGGCUAUGUUAGCCGGGCGACGGUUGUCCCGGUUUAAGCAUGUAGGCGGAGGUUCCAGGUAAAUCCGGUACCUUUUAACGCUGAGGUGUGAUGACGAGGCACUACGGUGCUGAAGUAACAAAUGCCCUGCUUCCAGGAAAAGCCUCUAAGCAUCAGGUAACAUUGAAUCGUACCCCAAACCGACACAGGUGGUCAGGUAGAGAAUACCAAGGCGCUUGAGAGAACUCGGGUGAAGGAACUAGGCAAAAUGGUGCCGUAACUUCGGGAGAAGGCACGCUGAUAUGUAGGUGAAGUCCCUGCGGAUGGAGCUGAAAUCAGUCGAAGAUACCAGCUGGCUGCAACUGUUUAUUAAAAACACAGCACUGUGCAAACACGAAAGUGGACGUAUACGGUGUGACGCCUGCCCGGUGCCGGAAGGUUAAUUGAUGGGGUUAUCCGUAAGGAGAAGCUCUUGAUCGAAGCCCCGGUAAACGGCGGCCGUAACUAUAACGGUCCUAAGGUAGCGAAAUUCCUUGUCGGGUAAGUUCCGACCUGCACGAAUGGCGUAAUGAUGGCCAGGCUGUCUCCACCCGAGACUCAGUGAAAUUGAACUCGCUGUGAAGAUGCAGUGUACCCGCGGCAAGACGGAAAGACCCCGUGAACCUUUACUAUAGCUUGACACUGAACAUUGAGCCUUGAUGUGUAGGAUAGGUGGGAGGCUUUGAAGCGUGGACGCCAGUCUGCGUGGAGCCAACCUUGAAAUACCACCCUUUAAUGUUUGAUGUUCUAACGUUGGCCCCUGACCGGGGUUGCGGACAGUGUCUGGUGGGUAGUUUGACUGGGGCGGUCUCCUCCCAAAGAGUAACGGAGGAGCACGAAGGUUAGCUAAUCCUGGUCGGACAUCAGGAGGUUAGUGCAAUGGCAUAAGCUAGCUUGACUGCGAGCGUGACGGCGCGAGCAGGUGCGAAAGCAGGUCAUAGUGAUCCGGUGGUUCUGAAUGGAAGGGCCAUCGCUCAACGGAUAAAAGGUACUCCGGGGAUAACAGGCUGAUACCGCCCAAGAGUUCAUAUCGACGGCGGUGUUUGGCACCUCGAUGUCGGCUCAUCACAUCCUGGGGCUGAAGUAGGUCCCAAGGGUAUGGCUGUUCGCCAUUUAAAGUGGUACGCGAGCUGGGUUUAGAACGUCGUGAGACAGUUCGGUCCCUAUCUGCCGUGGGCGCUGGAGAAUUGAGGGGGGCUGCUCCUAGUACGAGAGGACCGGAGUGGACGCAUCACUGGUGUUCGGGUUGUCAUGCCAAUGGCAUUGCCCGGUAGCUAAAUGCGGAAGAGAUAAGUGCUGAAAGCAUCUAAGCACGAAACUUGCCCCGAGAUGAGUUCUCCCUGAGACUUUAAGUCUCCUGAAGGAACGUUAAAGACGAUGACGUUGAUAGGUCGGGUGUGUAAGCGUAGCGAUACGUUGAGCUAACCGAUACUAAUGAACCGUGAGGCUUAACCUUACAACGCCGAAG
rnacentral:rRNA from 1 species